AGAGUUUGAUCAUGGCUCAGAUUGAACGCUGGCGGCAGGCCUAACACAUGCAAGUCGAACGGUAACAGGAAGCAGCUUGCUGCUUUGCUGACGAGUGGCGGACGGGUGAGUAAUGUCUGGGAAACUGCCUGAUGGAGGGGGAUAACUACUGGAAACGGUGGCUAAUACCGCAUAACGUCGCAAGACCAAAGAGGGGGACCUUCGGGCCUCUUGCCAUCAGAUGUGCCCAGAUGGGAUUAGCUAGUUGGUGAGGUAACGGCUCACCAAGGCGACGAUCCCUAGCUGGUCUGAGAGGAUGACCAGCCACACUGGAACUGAGACACGGUCCAGACUCCUACGGGAGGCAGCAGUGGGGAAUAUUGCACAAUGGGCGCAAGCCUGAUGCAGCCAUGCCGCGUGUAUGAAGAAGGCCUUCGGGUUGUAAAGUACUUUCAGCGGGGAGGAAGGUGUUGUGGUUAAUAACCGCAGCAAUUGACGUUACCCGCAGAAGAAGCACCGGCUAACUCCGUGCCAGCAGCCGCGGUAAUACGGAGGGUGCAAGCGUUAAUCGGAAUUACUGGGCGUAAAGCGCACGCAGGCGGUCUGUCAAGUCGGAUGUGAAAUCCCCGGGCUCAACCUGGGAACUGCAUUCGAAACUGGCAGGCUUGAGUCUUGUAGAGGGGGGUAGAAUUCCAGGUGUAGCGGUGAAAUGCGUAGAGAUCUGGAGGAAUACCGGUGGCGAAGGCGGCCCCCUGGACAAAGACUGACGCUCAGGUGCGAAAGCGUGGGGAGCAAACAGGAUUAGAUACCCUGGUAGUCCACGCCGUAAACGAUGUCUACUUGGAGGUUGUGCCCUUGAGGCGUGGCUUCCGGAGCUAACGCGUUAAGUAGACCGCCUGGGGAGUACGGCCGCAAGGUUAAAACUCAAAUGAAUUGACGGGGGCCCGCACAAGCGGUGGAGCAUGUGGUUUAAUUCGAUGCAACGCGAAGAACCUUACCUGGUCUUGACAUCCACAGAACUUUCCAGAGAUGGACUGGUGCCUUCGGGAACUGUGAGACAGGUGCUGCAUGGCUGUCGUCAGCUCGUGUUGUGAAAUGUUGGGUUAAGUCCCGCAACGAGCGCAACCCUUAUCCUUUGUUGCCAGCGGUUAGGCCGGGAACUCAAAGGAGACUGCCAGUGAUAAACUGGAGGAAGGUGGGGAUGACGUCAAGUCAUCAUGGCCCUUACGACCAGGGCUACACACGUGCUACAAUGGCGCAUACAAAGAGAAGCGACCUCGCGAGAGCAAGCGGACCUCAUAAAGUGCGUCGUAGUCCGGAUUGGAGUCUGCAACUCGACUCCAUGAAGUCGGAAUCGCUAGUAAUCGUGGAUCAGAAUGCCACGGUGAAUACGUUCCCGGGCCUUGUACACACCGCCCGUCACACCAUGGGAGUGGGUUGCAAAAGAAGUAGGUAGCUUAACCUUCGGGAGGGCGCUUACCACUUUGUGAUUCAUGACUGGGGUGAAGUCGUAACAAGGUAACCGUAGGGGAACCUGCGGUUG
rnacentral:rRNA from 2 species